AACGAACGCUGGCGGCAUGCCUAACACAUGCAAGUCGAACGAGACCUUCGGGUCUAGUGGCGCACGGGUGCGUAACGCGUGGGAACCUGCCCUUAGGUUCGGAAUAACUCCCCGAAAGGGGUGCUAAUACCGGAUAAUGUCUUCGGACCAAAGAUUUAUCGCCUUUGGAUGGGCCCGCGUUGGAUUAGCUAGUUGGUAGGGUAAAAGCCUACCAAGGCGACGAUCCAUAGCUGGUCUGAGAGGAUGAUCAGCCACACUGGGACUGAGACACGGCCCAGACUCCUACGGGAGGCAGCAGUGGGGAAUAUUGGACAAUGGGCGAAAGCAUGAUCCAGCAAUGCCGCGUGAGUGAUGAAGGCAUUAGGGUUGUAAAGCUCUUUUACCCGGGAUGAUAAUGACAGUACCGGGAGAAUAAGCUCCGGCUAACUCCGUG
rnacentral:rRNA from 1 species